rnacentral:rRNA from 1 species
GACGAACGCUGGCGGCGUGCCUAAUACAUGCAAGUCGAACGAAGCUGUUUUAACUGGUGCUUGCACCGACUUAAACAACUGAGUGGCGAACGGGUGAGUAACACGUGGGUAACCUGCCCCAAAGCGGGGGAUAACGUUUGGAAACAGAUGCUAAUACCGCAUAACCACAGAAACCACAUGGUUUCUGUGUCAAAGAUGGUUUCGGCUAUCACUUUGGGAUGGACCCGCGGCGUAUUAGCUAGUUGGUAAGGUAAUGGCUUACCAAUGCAAUGAUACGUAGCGGAACGGAGGGGUUGUGCUGCCACAUUGGGACUGAGACACGGCCCAAAAGCCUACGGGAGGCAGCAGUAGGGGAUAUUCCACAAUGGACGGAAGUCUGAUGGAGCAACGCCGCGUGAGUGAAGAAGGUUUUCGGAUCGUAAAACUCUGUUGUCAGAGAAGAACGUGUGCGAGAGUAACUGCUCGUGCAGUGACGGUAUCUGGCCAGAAAGCCACGGCUAACUACGUGCCAGCCGCCGCAGUAA